GGUGCAUGGUUGUCGUCAGCUCGUGUCGUGAGAUGUUGGUUAAGUCCCGCAACGAGCGCAACCCCUAUUGUUAGUUGCCAUCAUUCAGUUUGGGCACUCUAGCGAGACUGCCGGUAAUAAACCGGAGGAAGGUGGGGAUGACGUCAAAUCAUCAUGCCCCUUAUGACCUGGGCUACACACGUGCUACAAUGGUUGGUACAACGAGUUGCGAGUCGGUGACGGCGAGCUAAUCUCUUAAAGCCAAUCUCAGUUCGGAUUGUAGGCUGCAACUCGCCUACAUGAAGUCGGAAUCGCUAGUAAUCGCGGAUCAGCACGCCGCGGUGAAUACGUUCCCGGGCCUU
rnacentral:rRNA from 1 species